AUGAAUGAUGAUGAUGUAUUUUGGCGGUUUACGGGUUUUUAUGGCCACCCGGCCUGGAAGGAACGCAAGUUAUCUUGGGAGAACAUUCGAAACUUACAUAUAACGGGGAAGCAUCCAUGGGUGGUUCUAGGGGACUUCAACAAGAUUUUACUUUCAUCAGAAAAGGAGGGUGGCAAUGUGAGACCAAACGCUAUGAUGAGAGACUUUCGCAUUUGUUUAGGAGAGUGCGGCCUUGAGGAUAUGGGAUGUACUGGUGAUCUUUUCACUUGGAGGAGAGGAGAUACUAGGGAAAGACUUGACCGUGCGGUGUGCAAUGUUGAGUGGGCGACAAAAUUCCCUCGGGCUGCAAUUAUCCAUGAGGAACAUGUCCAUUCCGACCAUCGCCCACUCAUACUGGAUACGGAGUAUUAUGACGGCAAUAUAUUUAGUAGACCAAGGGGAUGA
rnacentral:rRNA from 1 species